GCCGGAGUGGCGGAAUGGCAGACGCGGUAGCCUCAAAAGCUAUUGAGGGCAACCUCAUGGGGGUUCAAGUCCCUUCUCCGGCA
rnacentral:tRNA from 1 species